CAACCGGGAUUGCCUUAGUAACGGCGAGUGAAGCGGCAAAAGCUCAAAUUUGAAAUCUGGUACCUUUGGUGCCCGAGUUGUAAUUUGGAGAGGGCAACUUUGGGACCGUUCCUUGUCUAUGUUCCUUGGAACAGGACGUCAUAGAGGGUGAGAAUCCCGUGUGGCGAGGAGUGCGGUUCUAUGUAAAGUGCCUUCGAAGAGUCGAGUUGUUUGGGAAUGCAGCUCUAAGUGGGUGGUAAAUUCCAUCUAAAGCUAAAUAUUGGCGAGAGACCGAUAGCGAACAAGUACAGUGAUGGAAAGAUGAAAAGAACUUUGAAAAGAGAGUGAAAAAGUACGUGAAAUUGUUGAAAGGGAAGGGCAUUUGAUCAGACAUGGUGUUUUGCGCCCUCUGCUCCUUGUGGGUGGGGGAAUCUCGCAGUUCACUGGGCCAGCAUCAGUUUUGGUGGCAGGAUAAAUCCGUAGGAAUGUAACUUGCUUCGGGAAGUAUUAUAGCCUAUGGGAAUACUGCCAACUGGGACUGAGGACUGCGACGUAAGUCAAGGAUGCUGGCAUAAUG
rnacentral:rRNA from 1 species